rnacentral:tRNA from 1 species
GGCCUCGUAGCUCAGCUGGUAGAGCGUACGGUGUGCAAAAGCGUAGGUGGAGUCUAUGCGUGGUUUCGAAUCCCCUGAGGCUA